UUUUAUAUAAGUGUCCACAGCUCAGCCA
rnacentral:piRNA from 1 species